GUGGGCAAAACCUAAAUAAUUUCUGGCUGGUCUGUAGUGCAGAACUCAAAUUUGGCAUGGUGCUCAUGACACUGCAAAUAUCUGAAGAUAUCAACCCAGAGAUUGAAGACUGCUUGUAGGAAUACAUACACUACUUAGCCGCAGGUGAAACAAUGGUGAAUUUGGGUCCCCACAGAAUGGAGCUCAAACAGACACUAUGCUCCUUCUGAGAGAGCUCCAGCAUGGAAAUCUCAAGGAGGUGGCAGAACUUUCCUUCUGAACUAUGGCAUCUUCAGCAAGGAUUCACACACUUAAAACUUGCUUCCCCUCCCACUUCCUGCUCCAGGAUGGAGAUGAGAAAUGGAAGUAAAAAGGUGAAGAUCACAGGUUGAGGCUCUGUGUCCUUGUCUGAUGAAGAUCCACACUGCCCCCCUCAAAGACUCAUUGCCCAAGGAAACAUGCCGUACCCUAGAGAAGUGCCUUCCAGCAUAGAUCAUCUGCUAGAACCAUCUGGAUGUCAUGAGCUCAGUGAAUUUCCUCUGCUAAAG